rnacentral:rRNA from 1 species
AACGUAGGAGACGAACGUUAUCCGGAGUUACUGGGCGUAAAGGGCGUGCAGGCGGUUGGAUAAGUUCGGCGUGAAAUUUUCCGGCUUAACCGGGGGAUGUCGUCGGAGACUGUCUGACUAGAGGGUGAUAGAGGCGUGUGGAAUUCCGGGUGUAGUGGUGAAAUGCGUAGAGAUCCGGAGGAACACCAGUGGCGAAGGCGACACGCUGGGUCACACCUGACGCUAAGACGCGACAGCAUGGGGAGCAAACGGG